UCAAUCCUUCAUCUUUCCAGAGUGUC
rnacentral:piRNA from 1 species